UACGUAAGGUGCAAGCGUUAAUCGGAAUUACUGGGCGUAAAGCGUGCGCAGGCGGUUUUGUAAGCCAGAUGUGAAAUCCCCGGGCUUAACCUGGGAAUGGCAUUUGGGACUGCAAGGCUUGAGUGCGGCAGAGGAGACUGGAAUUCCUGGUGUAGCAGUGAAAUGCGUAGAUAUCAGGAGGAAAACCGAUGGCGAAGGCAGGUCUCUGGGCUGACACUGACGCUCAUGCACGAAAGCGUGGGGAGCAAACAGG
rnacentral:rRNA from 1 species